ensembl:lncRNA
CCUCAGAGUCUACUUUCUUAAAACUAUAAAAAGUCUGAAAUUGUCACAACAUGAAAUAAAUAAUUUCAGAUUUGUUUUUAAUACAGUGCCAUAAAAAUUAAAAAUAUUGUUGCAGCAAAUGUACUAAGUCUAAUUGCAUUAGGAUUUGUUUUCCUUCUUUUCACUCACAUAAGAAAAUAUUAUUUUCACCACUUAAAGUAACUUCAUUCUUAUUCUAUAAAAUUUCCUCUACUAUGUAAGUCACCCAAAUAUACCAAAAAAGUGGGCUCACAACAAUAUUAAAGACAUCAAGGUACGAAUAAUAUCACAGCUUCUUUCAAAGAAAAAAAUGCUACAUUUUCUUGAUUUUGAUGCUCUGUCAAGAGGCCAGUCCAUUUCUGCUCUUGAAGAGCUGAUGAAGUCCACAGCCCAGAGCAAUUGUCUUGGUUUCACAUUUGGGCCAUAUUUCCCUGCCCUGCUGCCUGGCAGCAGAUGCCACACAGCUGGGACAGACCUGUGCCCCGGAGCUCAGGACAGCAUUCAGAUGAGCAGGUCCACAGGGUGCAGAGAGAGAGGAGACCCCACCAGCCCUGCUGCUGUCACCUGCCUGGUCCUUGGCGGCCCUGCCGGCAGCUGCUCCCUUUGCAAAGUUUAACCCAGAAACACGGGCUGUGUGUCCUCGUGCUGUGACUGUGUCCAUCCCUUCCAGGUUCCAUUCGCAUGGCCACCUCCACCAUCAGGAUGCGGUGCAGCCCCUUCCCCUUCUCUCAUACUGUCCCAGUGUCCUCUCCCUGCCUGCCCUCUGCCCUGGGCCUCUCCCUGCUCGCCUGAGCUCCCGCACACAGGUCAGGGAGUGGAGCUCACAGCAGGGACCUGGAGACCAGCCUCGCUCACACAGCACAGCGCCUCUCUGCUGCAGCCCUGUUCCCUGGGUCACCGCGCAUAGUCCUCCCAGAGCCAGCGCAACUGUCCGUGUCCACUGUGGACUCCUGUGUGCUGUUUUUGCGUGUGAGAAAUGUGAAGGAGGCUGCUGGGAGUGUUUAUGCUCAGCUUUGUGUAUGGACCUGUUAUUUCUCUUUCCCGGAACCUGAGAUAAGGGAGUGUUGAUAGGAAAUGGCGAACUUUUCUCAAUAAGCACUGGAUGAGUCUUCUUUUUAGCACUGCAUGAUAUUAGUAUUUGCUCCAAUCCCCACCAGCAUGUGAAAUUUGUUAUCAAUUUCCCUUUUCUGUUUUUGGCCUCAUGAUUGUGCAAUGUUUUCCCAUAAGGUUAUGCUGGAGAUUCCUAAGGACUGACAGUGUGAAAAUCUUAUAAACAUUAAAUGAAUCAUUUUUUAUUUCAGUUCAGAAAAACAGUCCCAGAACUGAGAAGAGUUCAGUGCCUGUGCUUUCAGUUUUCUGGAAAAGUUGACCAUGUUUCCAUGUGCAUGUUGCUCGUGCGCACAUCUUCCUCAGAAGGAUGUGCCUUUAAAUCAAAUGCCUAGUUUUGGACGAUGCAGGGUGGUGAACCUAGAGCCUCAUACCUGCUCCUCCAGUGCCCUACCACUGAGCUAAACCCAGCCUUUGCUCUGUUUAUAAAGAUUGUGUACUGGGCUUGGGAUUCAGCGCAGUGGUUCUGGCGGCUGCAGCGUAAGCACAAGGUACCAAGUUCAAUUCCCAGUACCAAAAAAAAAAAAAGAUUGUGUACUUGCUUCUCUAGUCACUGUUGCUGUUCAGUGGGAAGUUAUUUAGAUACUGUCGAUGUUUAUGCCUAUAAUUUAUAAAAAUACUUCUCCAAGUCCAUGGAGUGUCCUUUCCCUCUAUUGAAAGUGUUCCUUGGGGAGUUUAUUUUUUAAAUUGACAAAGUAUUAUGUAUCUAUUUUUAUACCUGUGCUUUUGGUGUCUUACCCAUUAGGUUUUUGCUAAAAUCUA